CCUACGGGCGGCAGCAGUGGGGGAUAUUGCACAAUGGGGGGAACCCUGAUGCAGCGACGCCGCGUGGGUGAAGGAGUGCUUCGGCAUGUAAAGCCCUAUCGGCAGGGAAGAAGCAAGACGGUACCUGACUAAGAAGCCCCGGCUAACUACGUGCCAGCAGCCGCGGUAAUACGGAGGGGGCGAGCGUUAUCCGGAUUCACUGGGUGUAAAGGGAGCGUAGACGGCCAUGCAAGCCAGGGGUGAAAGCCCGGGGCCCAACCCCGGGACUGCCCUUGGAACUGUGCGGCUAGAGUGCGGGAGGGGCAGGCGGAAUGGCUGGUGUAGCGGUGAAAUGCGUAGAUAUCAGGAGGAACACCGGCGGCGAAGGCGGCCUGCUGGACUGCGACUGACGUUGAGGCUCGAAAGCGUGGGGAGCGAACAGGAUUAGAUACCCUGGUAGUC
rnacentral:rRNA from 1 species